CAUCCACAAAGGGGGUUUCCAAAAGGACCCCCGUUUUCCUACCCCCAACAUCUUCUCACACCAUUGCCCGACCCGCUAAUCAGCUCGAGGAGAAAGGAAAGAGGAAAUGCCGUUCUUUGACAAGAUGUGGGAAACCACCUCGAUUUGUGCUCCGUGUGGCUGUGACCAGGAAACAAAGAACCCUCGCCGGAUCCAGGGGCCAAGUUUCAAGUAAACUUUUCCGGACGCACCAAGCAAGUGUGUUCUUGUGUGUGUUUUCUGCUAGCUCCUGCAUCGGUCCAUUUGCAAGAAGGAAAAUCAGAAGAACCAUGCCCCAGCCUCUGAGGGAUUAAAGAGUGCCUGAAGCCUGGGAGAAAGAAGUCAGACAGAAUGCCACAAGCACAAUAAAAUGCAGCAGGGGCCCAUAACAUAGUAACAUGCAGGUGGCAUUCCAGACAUGCAUGUACCAAAAGACUAUCAGCUGUUUAUUGAAAUUCAGGUUUGACUGGGCCCCUGCACUUGUCUCUUCUCAGUCUGGCCACCCCAGUGGGCAUAGGUUCCCUGCAGGUCAGCCACUGUCCAGUGACUCCUCAUCUCUCUCUGUGGGAUGGCAGGCGGGUACUGAGGCCUCUCUGUUGGGAAAAGGGGCAGUAACAGCUAGCUCUGAGCCUCCUACCUAUUCCCAGCUCUGCCCAGAGGCUUACUGGAACCACCAGGUACUGUGUGCAAGUCCAGUAGGCAGGCCUUAUAAUCCCUCUGGCUCCCUGCUCCUGACACUUAUGGGAACCGCUGGUGUGCUGAAGGCAUCUGGUGGCUCCCUAAAAGCUAACGCCCACCCUUGAGCUUUGGAAGCCACAUGGUUGAUGAGGUGACCCACAUAAAACUGAUUUUUGUUCCCCUCCCAGUGCAGACACCAAGCCUGCUGUCAGGCUCCGGGUUAGGGUCUGACUUUGAGACAGUGCUGGGAAGAAGCCGCAUGCUGGGUCCUUCCCUGGAGCCUGAGCACAGGGCCUCUCUAAACAGGUCUAAAGAAAAACAGUCCUCGGAGCAGAAUUAUGUUUCCUCUCCCAGUUCCUGUGAGUUGAGACAGAGACAGACAGAGAGGGGCAGGAACUCGACGCACAGCUCAGCUUUCCCCAGCUCACACAAUCUCCCCAAACUAGAAAAGCAUUUUGUCUAUCUUUGGAGGUGCAGAUUUCGGUUUGAGCCAAGGCACCUUUUGAAUGACAGACACUGACACAAUCUAACCUUGAAAACAGAAGCUACAGGCUCUUGGGCAGAAUCACCUCCCCCAAAAGUCACCUAAAAUCAGUGAUAACAAACAAAAUUCAAAGGGCCGCAGCCAAACACAGGGCCAGGGCCUGCCUCCCAGGAGCGGCAAUGGGCCAUCUGUUGCUUGGGGUGGCCGGACCCUCCCUCAUUCUAUCACAGCUCAAAGUAGGUUAUCUAAAUAAAUGGGAGAAGAAAUCAAGGAGAUAUAUUAGCGUGGCGGGGUAUUCGUCAUCGCCUCUGUCCUUCCUUCCCCAGGAAUAUCGGUGAUGAAUUUGCAAAUGGCUCUGGAUUGUGACAGACCUCUUUUCUCUCUUCAUUAUUUAUCCCUUCUCUGUGCACCUCGAUUAGAGGCCACAGUGACAAAUGCAUGAAUAAAAGGCAAAGACAAUAUUUGAGCAAUGUGUUGUAAAUCUCCUUCUACGCAUUAUUAAUUUAAAGGAGUCCAUUACACCCAACAGCUCUGAAAAGGAAGACGGGGUAAUGGAGAAUGGCUUCUGCCCGUGGGGGUCAGAGAAAGAAAAAAGCAAGAUCAGCCCCUUGAGAAGGGAGGGGGAGUGGCAGGCUGUUCUUUUACCACAUCCGAAGCCUUCCGACCACCUUACUUUAGUUACUAAAAGAAAACAUUUGCUCCCUCAGACACAGUCUCAUUUUGCAAAGUAGGGGACGGGAGUGAUGUGAAAGGAUCUCGUUUUCUCAGUGACUGCAAAGGCUCUGAUGGCAAUGGAGAUGGGGAACGGUUCUCUCCCUCAUCUCCCCCGAGACAGAACCGCCGCUCACAUGGGAGAGAACACAGACGACUGGUGAAAGGUGCUGGGCAGAAUCAGGAGUAUUGCCACAGUGGCUGGACCAAGCAAGUCUGGCUAACAGUGAUAACACAGGCAUCCCCAGGGCCCAGAGACAGCGCUAAUCAGGAGCAGGCACCUCGGCAGCCACCGCCAAACCCUGCAGCCUACAUUUUCAUUCCUACUAUUUUCUUUUCUUUCAAAAUCCUCCAAGAAAGGAGUGUGGGCCCCAGAUUUCAACACCUGCCUUGGCCGACAAAAUGUAUCUGCAGGGAUCAAGUCGGCUCUGGACUCUCCCUGCAAAGGCAUCUCUUCCAGGGACCUUCCUCAGGAGCUCAGUGGGGUUGGCAGCAUCUCACAGAUUUGGGAGGUGCAGGGAAAGAUCUAGACCCCUCCUAAGAGGUCAGGACUAUCCAGGAGCCCAAGACCAUCGAUCGGGCUGGGGAGCGGACCAACGAAAAGCCUCCAUCCACUCACAGGGUAUCAAGGCUCCUUCAUCUGCCCAUUUUGAAGGGUUCAGAAGACCUGGGGAUCCAGUUGAAUCCGGGGGCACAGAGGAGUGGAAAGAGGAAGGGCGUCCCUGUGAGCUGCCCAAGUGGACCAGCUCACGGCCCGGAGGCUGAGAGGGGCAGAGGGUGGACCCCGGAGUCAGCGCACCCCACACUCCAGCAUCUGUCUCCCUGAAGUUUGAAGCCAUUCCUCUGACACUCGUCAACAUCCACCAGAAAGUGCACACUCUGUCCCUAAAGCCACCCACCCACCAGAUUGACGGGUUGGUAUGAACUCCCCCUGCCCAGAGUGCUCAUCAGCCCCCACUCCGUGGGAGAGUGCACCAGCCCACAGUGACAGCCCGACAGUCCAUUUAGGGGCUCAGUGGUGGACUGUCAGGCAGAUCCUAAUGAUUCAUCACCGACCCGGCCCGGUGACAGCCCAGCGGCACACAGAGGCAAACAGUGGUAGGGCCCAGUGGGACCUGCAACUCUAAAAUCAGAAACUCACAGACAAAAGGGCUCGGGAUGCCGAGGCCGGUGGGAGCGAGAGGAAUCCCGAGGCUGGUUUCGUUUUGUAUUUCCCUCAUCAGCCUAAUUGCUUGGGAAGCUGUGGUUUUCUUUGACACGGAGCAAGCAAGGGGAGACUCCCUGGUAACAUGCUAAAUCAAAAGUUGCCGAUGGCGGAUGGCGACACAGAUAUGCACAUAUUAAUUUGAAUUUUUAAGACAAGUGCCGCGUGUUAUUAAUAUAAUUGCCAGUUGUGGAAACGGUGUAUUUAUUGCGUUUUCGCUAUCGCUUUGCACUCCGUGCUUCUAAAUGGUACAAGGGGUAUGUUCAGCUGGUGUUUACUGAGCCUCUGACUGUUAAUCAGUGUAAAUUAAAUGUGUACUUG